UGCAGGAAGAUUAGGUGGUCUAGAAGGCUUUCAGUACAAUGGCCUUCAUCAGGCAGGGUAUUGAGUAUAGAGGUUGGGAUAGACACAAAAAGCUGGAGUA